CUUUGUAAAGGGAAAACACACAACUAUUCUACUCUACUGGAUGGAAAUACAUUGUCCUAAUUUAAACGAAUGGGGUGGAAGGCAAAAUAAAUACCCUUGGAUGUCAGGCGAAAUGAGAAAACAACCCUGCCGUUAUUCUGUAUAAUCUGUUCUUAUGAUAUGAAUGUUAUGAAUAUAUUUUUGCAGGGGACUGAUUAUACACUAAUAAGUACAUUUAAAAAAAAUUUUUUUUUAAUGUUUAUUUAUUUUUGAGACAGAGAGAGGCAGAGCAUGAACGGGGUAGGGUCAGAGAGAGAGGGAGACACAGAAUCGGAAGCAGGCUCCAGGCUCUGGGCCAUCAGCCCAGAGCCCGACGCGGGGCUCGAACUCACGGACCGCGAGAUCGUGACCUGAGCUGAAGUCAGACACUUAACCGACCGAGCCACCCAGGCGCCCCUAAUAAGUACAUUUUUUCAAAACCCCUUUCGGACACGUGGGAAAGGAGGGAUCUAAAUUGAAAGAGUCACCAUCUGAACGCUCAAGAAGUUACUGGAGAUGAGGAUAGCAAGAUAUUGUGAGGGAUGCAUGAGGUCUAAAUAAGUUCACAUUUGUAAAGCACUUCAAAGAGUGCCUGGCACACAGGAAGCACUACAUUAUUGCUAUUAAGAUUGUUACUGUUAAAAUCUUCAAUAGCUCUCAAUCCAGUGUUACAGAUAAGCACAUAAGCUGAUAACGAGCAAGGUGCUGAAUGAAUAAUACAGCUAUGAGCAAAAGUCCAAGGGCAUCCCCAGAGGGAAGGGGGCAAGCAUCUGCCAGGGAAUAGGGGGAGGGGCAGGAAAACAAGAUGGCACCCGGAGAUCACAUGACCGAGGAAGGCGCGAGUUGCUAGAACUGGAGCACCACCACCUGACUUCUGCAGAAACAUUUUGUCAGCAAAUCUUGUACGACUAAAGGUUCUAUUUCUCCAAAUCUCUAAUAUUCGAAGUUUGCUCACUAUUCUGAGCAUCCUUUUGCCACUGGCACAGGAAUGGAGCCUUAACCACUGGGCAAAAAGAACAAGGCUUUCACCAAGUUGACAUGAGAGUCCGCAGGAGGGAGAAAGAGGUGACUGAAGCUGAUGAUGGUGUGGCCCUGUACUCCAAGGAGGUUCCAACCCCACCUGGAAGUCCAACUGGGAUGAUCAAGGCUCCAUGAGGGAAAAGUACAUUCCCAUCCCCCAGGCUCCAGUCCCUCCCUAGCAGAGGAGAGACAGUUGGGCACAGACAUGGUGAUGCAUGCCCUGAGCUAGAAGGAAGGGCUAGGCAGCAGGGGCCGUCAUCCAGCUUGGCAGGCAUUGCCCCAGAAGGCCCACCUCUUUCCUCCAAACCCAUGCCAGGGGUCUAGCACACUAACCCAGUGUUUCCUAAGCCAAACAACAUGGAAGGCUGCUUAAAAGUCUACAUUCUUUACCACAGGCCAUUAACUUUAUACGUAGGCAAAACAUAUUUAUGUUCCUCCUUUUCUUCAAUAAACAGAGUAAAGAAACUUUCUGUGGGUAGUUCACUCUGGACCAGUGAAAUGAGGGCAGCUAUUCUGAUGGGAAUAACUAAUGAGACAUGUACAGAAGAAAAAGCUAAACAUUAAACAGAGGAACACUGUUGGUAGAAUUAAAUAUAUACAACUUUUUCUGGAGGACACUUUGGCAACAGCUAUCGAAAUUGACCCAGCAAUUCCACUUUGCCAAAUUUAUCCUAUGUGUAUAUUCCUUGACAUGUGUUCAAGGAUGAACAAUGGUGCAUUAUUUGGGAAAAUUUUUUUCAACUGAAAACAAGCUAAAUGUCCAUCUAUAGGUGCUACUUACGAGGCUAUCUAAUACCUAAAGCUUCUCGAUGUACAUGAAAAGCAAGUUUCAAACCGUAUGUCUAUUAUAAUGCUACUUAUAUAAAAACAUCCAUGUAUUAUAUAUCUAAAUAUGUGUGUGUAUAUAUAUAUAUAUAUAUAUUUACAAUAUGGAUAUAUUUGUAUAUAUGGAUUAGAAAUGCCUGGAAAGAUCUAGAUGUGACAAACUGGCAGAUUAGGGACAAAUUUGGUCCACAGGGAGAUUUGUUUAUUGGGUUUUUUUGUUUAAAAUUUCAACUUGAAUGCCUUAGGAAGGGCUCCCAUACAGUCCUCUUAACUCUCGAUUCUCUUCCACCCUUUGAUUCUCUAAAUUGUUUCCUGCCUGACCCCUAAAUGCAAGUGAAGAGAGAAAUGGGUAUGUGUGGGGGUAGCUAGAGGGGUGCUCUAAGUUUUUACUUUCCACUUCCAUCGUGUCAACAAACAUGACUUUUAUGACUUAAGGAAGGGUGGGGUCAGGACUGAAGUCUUUCACUGUCACGAGAAGGACUGGAGGAAAAUAAGGAUCCUGAAAAAAGAGACACUGACUUGGAAGCUAUCUCUAUAGUCCAGAUAAGGAGCAGAGAGCAUCUGAACAAGCAGUAAAUGCAAGGAUAAAUUGUGAAACCCAGAUAUGAAACUUCUUUUAAAAUCCCUUAUCAGCCACAGCAGUUAAAAGAAUGCACAGACUUUUCUUUCUUCUUCCUUCUUUCCCCAUCAUGAAAAAUCGCAGCCUGUGGUUUAUCCCAUGGGCCACUGGGCAGGGCUCUGCUGUGCUCUGUGGGAAUCCAGGUCUGCUCAGAGCACUCCUGGGGAGUCUCAUUCUCCCAUGCCUGCGAGUUCCUUCUUUCUCUUCACCAUGUUGGUACCAGCUGUAUAGAAAGCAGGAGUCUUCACCACCAAUGGUUACAGCAGAAAUCAAACGCGGAUUGUCCCUGGACAGAGUCAAGCGGAUAGUACUGUCCUGGCCCCUGUUGCCUACCUUGGAGGAUCACUGGUUUCCACAGUUCACUUUGAGAUAAUAUUAGAAACCCCACAGCCUGCAAGGAAGGGUAAAGCUUUACCUUAAAAUGAGAACAAGGAAAACUUCCAAAUGAAACAUUCCCUUGUUUUUGGCAGUAGCUAAAAGACAGCCUGGUGUGAGAGUCCUGGAUGCCAUACUAUGCUCUUUCAUCUACUGGAAAUCCUUCAGUUGAAUGAAAUUAUUUAUUUGAAAAGGUUUUCGUUGAAUUUGGGCUGGUAUUUCAGAGACUUUCUCUUCUGUGUUUCAACAGUAGGGAAUGUAGCAUGGUAAGGAAGUUGGAGAGAUUAGGCAUGAAUAAAGUCAGAUCCAUGA
rnacentral:lncRNA from 1 species